rnacentral:rRNA from 1 species
CGUAGGUGGCAAGCGUUGUCCGGAUUUAUUGGGUUUAAAGGGUGCGUAGGCGGUCCUAUAAGUCAGUGCUGAAAUAUCCCGGCUUAACCGGGAGGGUGGCAUUGAUACUGUUGGACUUGAGUAAAGUUGAGGUUGGCGGAAUUGACGGUGUAGCGGUGAAAUGCUUAGAUAUCGUCAAGAACACCUAUUGCGAAGGCAGCUAACUAAGCUUUAACUGACGCUGAGGCACGAAAGUGUGGGGAUCAAACAGGAUUAGAUACCCUGGUAGUCCACACUGUAAACGUUGAUUACUCGAUGUUGGCGAUACACGGCCAGCGUCUUAGCGCAAGCGAUAAGUAAUCCACCUGGGGAGUACGCCGGCAACGGUG